ensembl:lncRNA
GUUGCCCACGAUUCAUAAGGGCAGACAGAGGAAAGGAAAAUCUUCUCGUCGGACUGAUGCAGUGACAUUUCACUUCCGGGAGUCUGGUGAUCAAGGACAAGACUCCUUCAGAGUGGGAACAUCAGUACAUAUUCAGCAAGUUGAAUGCUUCAACAGUAUGCUGAAGAAAACAUGGAUCAAAAAAUAGCAGGUGACAUUUGAGGCCAUGAUAGAAUCUGGCAUGCUCGAUUUGGACAAUCCUGUACACAUAAAUUGCCUGCAAUAUACACACUUUCCCCUUCUUGAGAGAGAGCUGAACAUAGAGCAAAGACUGUGGAACACUCACGACAUUCGCAAGCAAAAGAAUGUUUCAGGUCCAUUUGGAAAACCAGACCUUCUCUUUACUUCCCCACCCAAAGGUAUCCAUUUCAUCCAAAUUAAAAUGGUUCAGAAAAGCAGUAGCCAAUGUGAAAAAGACUUCCUGCAGGCAUUGCUAUGCUCUUCAAAGUAGACAACGACCUCCUGAAGUGUGCAGAACAGCUUGUUUGUGGAGUAGAGGAGCCUUUCUUGGUGGCAAAUGAAGAAUUCAGAAAAAUAUCAGAGGCUAUUCUGCAAAAUACAAACUUCACAUCAUCACCAGACAGGUCUUUGGCAGCUCACCUCAUGCUGGUGGAGAAAUUCACCACAGUCCUUCAAACAAAAGGCAUUCCCAUUCCAUUCAUGUUUGCAGAGUCAAAUGAAAUCUACUAGCUGCUGGCCAAUGAGACAGGGACUUUUUAACCGCUUAUCCAACAAAAUAAAUCUGUAUAAAGGGACCA